rnacentral:misc_RNA from 1 species
GAUGAAGAACGUAGCGAAAUGCGAUACUUGGUGUGAAUUGCAGAAUCCCGUGAACCAUCGAGUCUUUGAACGCAAGUUGCGCCCGAAGCCAUCAGGUUGAGGGCACGUCUGCCUGGGCGUCACAUAUCGUUGCUCGAUGCCUAUCGCAUUGCGAUAGGACUUAGGGCGAAUGAUGGCUUCCCGUGAGCGUUGUUGCCUCGCGGUUGGUUGAAAAUCGAGUGCAUGGUGUCGGGUGUACCAUGAUGGAUGGUGGUUGAGUGAUGAUGCUCGAGACCGAUCAUGGGUAACUCCACCAGAAUUGGGCUCGGUGACCCACAUGCGUCCCUUGGAUGCUCCCUAAGGAGACCUCAGGUCAGGCGGGGCUACCCGCUGAGUUUAAGCAUAUCAAUAAGCGGAGGA